CGUGAAGUUGGAAUCGCUAGUAAUCGCGGAUCAGCAUGCCGCGGUGAAUACGUUCCCGGGCCUUGUACACACCGCCCGUCACACCAUGAGAGUCGGGAACACCCGAAGUCCGUAGCCUAACCGCAAGGGGGCGCGGCCGAAGGUGGGUUCGAUAAUUGGGGUGAAGUCGUAACAAGGUAUC
rnacentral:rRNA from 1 species